UACGUAGGGGGCAAGCGUUGUCCGGAAUCAUUGGGCGUAAAGCGCGCGUAGGCGGCCCGGUAAGUCCGUUGUGAAAGUCAAAGGCUCAAUCUUUGAACGCCGAUGGAUACUGCCGGGCUAGAGUCCGGAAGAGGCGAGUGGAAUUCCUGGUGUAGCGGUGGAAUGCGCAGAUAUCAGGAGGAACACCAAUAGCGAAGGCAGCUCGCUGGGACGGUACUGACGCUGAGGCGCGAAAGCGUGGGGAGCGAACAGG
rnacentral:rRNA from 1 species